UAGGGAAUCUUCCGCAAUGGACGAAAGUCUGACGGAGCAACGCCGCGUGAGUGAUGAAGGUUUUCGGAUCGUAAAACUCUGUUAUUAGGGAAGAACAAAUGCGUAAGUAACUGUGCGCAUCUUGACGGUACCUAAUCAGAAAGCCACGGCUAACUACGUGCCAGCAGCCGCGGUAAUACGUAGGUGGCAAGCGUUAUCCGGAAUUAUUGGGCGUAAAGCGCGCGUAGGCGGUUUCGUAAGUCUGAUGUGAAAGCCCACGGCUCAACCGUGGAGGGUCAUUGGAAACUGGGAAACUUGAGUACAGAAGAGGAAAGUGGAAUUCCAUGUGUAGCGGUGAAAUGCGCAGAGAUAUGGAGGAACACCAGUGGCGAAGGCGACUUUCUGGUCUGUAACUGACGCUGAUGUGCGAAAGCGUGGGGAUCAAACA
rnacentral:rRNA from 1 species